AUUGAACGCUGGCGGCAGGCCUAAUACAUGCAAGUCGAGCGGAGGAAGGGAGCUUGCUCCUGGAUUCAGCGGCGGACGGGUGAGUAAUGCCUAGGAAUCUGCCUGGUAGUGGGGGAUAACGUCCGGAAACGGGCGCUAAUACCGCAUACGGCCUGAGGGAGAAAGUGGGGGAUCUUCGGACCUCACGCUAUCAGAUGAGCCUAGGUCGGAUUAGCUAGUUGGUGGGGUAAAGGCCUACCAAGGCGACGAUCCGUAACUGGUCUGAGAGGAUGAUCAGUCACACUGGAACUGAGACACGGUCCAGACUCCUACGGGAGGCAGCAGUAGGGAAUAUUCGACAAUGGGCGAAAGCCUGAUCCAGCCAUGCCGCGUGUGUGAAGAAGGUCUUCGGAUUGUAAAGCUCUUUAAGUUGGGAGGAAGGGCAGUAAAUUAAUACCUUGCUGAAUUGGCGUUACCAACAGAGAAAGCACCGGCUAACUACGUG
rnacentral:rRNA from 1 species